UAAAUACUCACUCCGUCCAGAAAUACUUGUCCAAGAAAUGGAUGUAUCUAGAUGUAUUUUAGUUCUAGAUAUAUCCAUUUGUAUCCAUUUCUAUGACAAGUAUUUCUGGAUGGAGGGAGUAUAUG
rnacentral:pre_miRNA from 1 species